UUUUACUGAUAAAUUUAGCAGAUUUGAAGAGCUUGGAGUCUUAAAACUGUAGCUUACAAAUAGUUAUGUAGACAAAGUGUCUGACUCUUAAAAAAAACUGCAAUUUACACAGGAGGAAAAAUGCUGCAGUAUCAAAGGAAAGCUGUUCCCUGUUCUUCCUUUAGCUAAUUUCCUGAUCUGUUCACUGUUCUCAUUGCACUGCCUUGGGAAAAAGUGGCAGGGCAAUCUGAGAUGCUGGCCUGUUAAACUGCUUGCCUUCCAUUCUUUUACUUUGCAGCAGUUUCCAUAAAAAUUAAGCAGUUUAAAGUCAAUAGAAUAUGAGUCUAAUGCAACUAAUCAUCUGAAUUUUAUUCAUACUAUUACUUUUAGUGCCUGCUAAAAGAUGGACUGCUCUUAUCAUCUUGAGCUCUCUCACGGGGUUUGCUGUGUGCUGACAAUGAGAGCUGCUGUCCAGAUGACCUGUCAAACCUGCCAUCCUCGGGACACUGCUGGAGAUAGGGAAAGCUAACCGACAGCUAUUGUUAAGUGGUGGGAUUGAAGCAAGGUUCCUAGUUCUAAGUGAGAAAAGAGGUUGACUUAAACACAGCGAGCGUAUGGAUCUUUACAGAAGGCACUGUCUUUUUCCCAUUAUCUGUGAUGACUGAGAACUCCUUGCAUAUGUCUGAACUGUAUGGCCAAAUUGAGAUUAUUGUUUUUAUAUCCUUUGGAGCCACCAAUCACACUACGAAAAAGAGCUGUGGGUUUGCACAUGCUGCACCAUUUGACUUCAGUGGAGCUGAUUCAGCCUGGUGAUAGCUAUCAUACUGUAUAUUCAGGUCUGUAUUACAAGUUACCACCUUUCCUUUUCUUACACUUUAAAAAGCAUUCAGUCUCAUAAACCACCUUUCUUUCCUUAAAAAAAAAAAACACACCACCAAACAUCAAAACAUUGGAACAUGGCUUUCAGUGAACAUGGAAUGUGGUUUUUGAGUGUGAUGAUUUUGAGACAAAUAGGUAAAUGAUAGCUGAUAGCACAUUGUUUUUUACUGAUUGACAUGCUAUAUUCUUCAUAGCUUAACAAGUUAAGGAAAAAGUAAAUCUCUGAUGAGCUGUCAGCCUUCUGGGUCAGCUGUAUGAAAAGGAUUAGUGGUGGCUAAAGGUCAAGGGGCAGUAAGAGUUUCUACAAACACUUCAGAAACUGAGAGGACAAAUGCCUGGUAGGGGGCACUCCUUUCAUUUGAAAAGUAGAAUCUAAUGCAACAGUGACUGGGAAAUGCUUACUACCUACACUACAUUGCCUUUCACUACUAGUCUUCAGUGAGAAAAGCAAAUAGAUACAGAGAAAUUAUUUCCAUGUUUCUGAUCAGUCGAUGAAAAAUAGGUAAAGGAAUGUGUGGAAAGCAGGUCCACAGAUUGGCAGAUGGAAUGACAAGAUUUCCAGUUGGGCUGGUAACCAGUUCUAUUUGUAUCUUUAAAAGAAUCAGACAAUCAUAAUGGAAACUCCCGGCAUCUUCCUGGCAGUAAGUGUAAGUGUAACCUGAAGACCAGCCAGCUAUUGUUUUGAUAAGUUUGAUCACUUUUUGAUAAACCAUUAGACAUAAUCCACAAUAAGAGCUCAAAAUCUUUUCAAGUUGACAUACAAUUACUCAUCCUUUAAUCCAGGUUCACUUUUAUGGAUUAAGUGCUUUGCAACAUCCAAAACCUUUCAUCUGAUACCAGUUAAGGUUACUAAAGUUGAAGAAUACAGACUUCUUUUCUAGGUACAGAACCUGUUGCUCUUCUUCAAACAUUUUCCAGCUGUUGCUUUUUGUCAGUCGGCUAUCAGAAGGCUGGUGGGUUUUACUCAUACCACUUUCAUUAAGACAGGCACAAGGGCACAGAGCUGCACCAGAGGAGGUUCAGACUGAAUAUAGGGAAAAUAAUUCUUUACUGUGAGGGGGAUGGGAUACUGGAAGAGGCUUCCUGAGAAGUUGAUGAUGCCCCAUUGUUUGUCAGUGUUUACAAGCCAUUAGGUCGUCUUUACUUUUGGUUAGUCCUGAAGUGGUUGGGUAGAUGGACUUGACAACCUUUGUAGGUAGCUAAGAUGUUCUAUUGUACUCUAUUCUAUUCCAUUUUACCAUAUUCAUAUAGUUUAUUUAGAAGGAAAUGUAUUGGCUGCCCUCUAAGCUGGAACUGCUCCUGACUACCUCUAUGCAAGUGUACUGAAAAUUUGGGUUCCUGUUUGGUGUGUACUGUCAGUGCUUCUUUUCCUCAGCAGCUGUAGUGAACCAGAAAUGAAGUAAAACAUACACACAGCUUAACUGUGAGAGGAAGAAAGAAAAUAAAAGUAUAACAAAUUAUUUCA
ensembl:lncRNA